rnacentral:rRNA from 1 species
CCCCUAGAUGUUCUGGGCCGCACGCGCGCUACACUGAACAGUUCAACAAGUCUUAACCUUGGCCGAUAGGUCUGGGUAAUCUUUGAACGCUGUUCGUGAUUGGGAUAGACCUUUGCAAUUAUGGGUCUUCAACGAGGAAUUCCUAGUAAACGCAAGUCAUCGGCUUGCAUUGAUUACGUCCCUGCCCUUUGUACACACCGCCCGUCGCACCUACCGAUUGAAUGGUCCGGUGAAAUCUCGGGACGGCGGCUUGGUCGCUUGCGUCCGACUGCUGAAACUUGAUUAAACCAUAUCAUUUAGAGGAAGGUGAAGUCGUANCA